GGCUUCAAAAGGAUUUGGAUAUUAUUACCCCAGCUUUAGCUGAGGAAGCCUUUUACAGCACUCGGGCAUUUCAAGGAAUGAAUUCCUGCCAGGACAUUUACCUCACCUGGGUUGGGUGCAGCACAUAGUGGAUCAAUUCUUGCCACAGGAACUUAAGCCAUGGGUGGGAUUUUAACUAACAACUCUCAAAUGGCUCAAAGACAGUAGACUAAAUCCACUAGGCCUUAAAAAAUGUAUAGACCAUUUGGAGUGUUGGAUAAUGCUUUCACAUCUUGUUUAGAUCAUUAGUUUGAUACAUCCCUUUAAGGUGCCUAUAAAUGAAUUGUUUCAUGAAUGAAGACUUCACUGAACAUACUCCCCUUCCAGAGAGAGAGACAGAGAGAGCCAUGCCCUUUGCAUUAACCAAACAUGUCAUUUCCUAUCUCCUACCACUGUCUGGCAAGCCAGCAUUCUUCUCAAGCUACCAAACCACCAUGGGGCCCCCUCGCCUGGAUUUAGAAACAUUAUUAACACAUCCUGGGAGGGGGAUGUCUUGUUGCCCUAGCAACUUAGAAAUUACAUUGUCAGGCAAGGUUGAUAUGUAAAGCUUCUUGUAGUCUGCAAUCACAGACCAUAAUUAGCCCUUCACUGCAAGUAGGUUCUGGCAGAGGUCUAAUGGUUACUUGUUCAAGUUGUCUGAAUAUGCAGCCUAAGAUCCCUGCCAAUUGACUUGUGUACAGAAGGCCCCUCUCGAAAUUGAAAAAGCAAGUUUUUUGUGCUAGUCUUGUGUGAAGACCAACUUGUUGAUAUAAGGUUUCAAGCAGGGUCUGUGCCUGCGGACAAAAAGUCUAGGACAAGUGACCACCUGGCUAUGCCCAUUGUACAUUAGAUGUCGAGCACAGUAUCAGUACACAAUGCCUGUUCAAAUUCAGUAGUCUGAAAAUGAAGUCUAUUUCAGGAGCAUAUCAUAUUUUGACAGAACAAGAGCUUUCAUCAGCAGACUAAGCUUUUUGUUCUGAUUGUUAUUUUUGAUGUCAUUAUUCAACUUUCCAACCAACAGCUUCAUCUAGUGCACAGAUUUGUAUUAUUUCAUCUGUGCAUGGGUAUGGAAGUGAUCAGAUCAAAAUUUAAUUUUGAAGCAGUCAUGGAAUUUGGCAUUCAGAUCUUAUGGAGAAAAUUAUCAAAAGAAAAAUGGUUUAUAUAUUGAUAACUAAGUUGCUUAAUAGAUGACAAAAAUGGCAAAAAAAACCUAUAUUAUUAUUCAUUUGCAUUUUAUCAAAGAUAAAAUUUAGUUCUUAAUGUGAAAUUGAAAGUGUGAGAAAAUUGUCUCCAGUGAUUUUGAAAAGCUCUUUACAAUGCAUCUUAGAACAGGUGUUUUUUUGUAACAGAAUAGAAUUCCCAAUUAAUGAUGAAUUAAUUGAGCAGAUUGCGGUUGAACUGAUACACACUGUGCACAGAGAAGUGUGUGUGGAACUGCACCUGAAUUGACUACUCGACAGUUUUAUUUCUUAUCUGUGGAUAUUAUUUCUUAUGAUAUUCUUCCUAAAAGCCAUGAAAAGAAUUUCAUAUUUUGUUUAUCUGCAAAGUCUUCAUUUUUUAAAUUCAUUUCAGAGUGAACUGGGUGGUGGAAGCUCUGGUAAACAAAAGACGGAAGAGAACAAAGAAUUAAAAGAUAUCAGAGAAAAGGCCAACGCAGCUUCACUCAAACUUGCCACUGCAGCUAAAGAGGCAGAAACAAACAUCAAGCAACUCAUGUCCGGUGUAGAUGUCCUUAAAGUUUUGGCAGAGACAUUAGCCUGCAUCGAUAGAAUAUCUGAAGACAAAUCGGAUAAGCCAAAGUCGUUUGGGACAGCUCUUUGAUGAAUCUUCAAACCUUACAUCACUGCAUCACUCAUGGUCUUUCAUGUCGAGUUUGAAGAAACCCUUGCUGUAGUCCCGUGUGUACAGAAGGAUGUAUUCGUGGAAAGAGAAAGAACAAAGAACACAAACUCUAGAAGAACAUGUACUGUUUUGAAAAUGAAAUGUAAUCACUUUUGUCAAAGAAAUAGUUGCAUUACGUACCGUUUGGAUUAUUGAUUAUUUUGGAUGGGGGCGACAAAAUAACAAAUCAAUUCUGAAUGUUUUUAAAGCAGUGCUAAGUGUGGUUUUCACGGGAGUCGCAAACUUAGGAAGUGUGUUUGCAAAGGAUGCGAAUGUCAAAAAAUGGCAAAGUUUCCCUUGCAACUAUUGAGUUCUAAAGCAGUUUGGGAAGUUCUUAUGACUCAUCUUGUGUAUACCAUUGAGAAACACAAAGAAAAUAUGAAUAAUUAAUCUCCUGAUUUUUGCACCCUUUGCAAAACACUUGUGAGCCCCAUAUACUGUAGUAAGGGUCUGAAUUAUUGUUAUAGGGCACAACUAUGACAAGUAAAUUAUUUCAAAUUCAAUGUUUAUAAUUCCAUCAUAUAUUUGGUAGGUAAAUUUGAUUUCAACUGUCCUCUUAAGAAAAUGCGAUGACUGGAUUGUCAACAGACAAGUAAAAAAUGCCUCUACCAUCGCCAGAUCGGACAGAUGUUGCACAUUUAAUUUCUCAAGUUUAAAAAAAAAUUCAAAUUCAAAUUAAAAAAAAAAGGCCACCAAGCAUGGAAUCCACAGGUAUUGGCAUGUGAUAUCAAAUACGUAAUACAGAAAAUAUUGAAUGGAUGAUGUACCACUGAGGUUACAGUAAAGCCCAAGAGGCUAUCAUUUUAAUGAUGCCUGGGCCCCAUCUUACAAAGAGUUACAAUUGAUCCGAUCAACCUCAAGUAUAUGGAAAGCCAUCAAUGUCAUAAUUUUUUCUUUAGGAAAUUUGCACAUUGUCCUUUGAAAACCAGAGAAGCACAAUGAAUUUUCAAGAAAACUAUAAAUGUAUGAAUAUACAUCAUAUCUAGAAAAUAUUUUGAACAAACAUGUAUUUUAGGUGUUGACGUUGCUGGCUUUCCAUAGUUGUGGUUGAUUGGAUCAAUUGUAACACUUUGUAAGAUGGGGCCCAGAAAUAUCACCAUCAGAGACAUUGCAUCCAAGACAAUUAGGUGACCCUGCCUAAGUCAGAUCUGUUUGAAUUAAGCAAAAUUUGAUUUAGUAGAUGUAAUAUAUGUUUGCAUAUUCUGGUCUAAAAAAAAAUGCCUUGACCUAUGGAGGGUCGACUUUAGCAGGGUAUUCUGUAUUGUAUUUUCAGUGCAUUAUACAGUUUUAUAAUACUAGUAGCAGCAGUUCAUCUUACAAGCUACAAACUUCUUUUGAUUUUCUUUAAUUUUUAUUUUUUGCCGCCGACUCGUGACUCUGUUGGAGAUGGCGAGUUUUACUUGGAAAAGGUCUUGAUGGAAGUUCAUGUUGAAAGAAGGGAAACCAGUUUGAAGGCGAUAGAUAAUACGUGGCAAUGAAAGACUAUGUCAUAGUGCAAAAAAUCUUCUUGCACAGAAAUAUUAGACUAUGAAUAAAAUAAUGGUCAGUGAUUGAAAGAAUUUUAUGUAGUUCAUUAUUCACCAUUAUAAUUUCAAUUUGCACUUCAAUGCCCAACUUUUUUCUUUUUAUUAUUUGAAUAAUUAAAAAAAAUUAGUCUUUCAAAAUGUCUCAUAUAUAUUGAAACUCCAUUUGUGUGAAGUAAACUUAGCGAGACUGUUUAUUUCUGUUCUCUUUUUUUGCUGGCUUUGGCAUUUGGCAUAGUAUACAUUGUUGUCGUCAAUAGUUUUACUUUACUUAUGAUAUAUUUGAGGUAGCAUGAUAGCAUCACCAAAUUAAUUGAUAACACAGGAGCAAAUCAAGUUGAAUCUGACCUAAUCUGAAGGUCAAAAGGUCAAUUUAAAGAUGCUGUAAUUUGCGCUACACUGCCAGCAGACUAAUUGCAGCAUACAUCACAAAUAUUGCCUUUUCCAGGGGCCUGUUCUCACAGUAACUUUAGAAGUCAAUGUAAACUCUGUUCAUGUAUACAUGUGGGGCAGUGGGGAAUGAUAAUCUGCUUAGAUUAUGAAAGCAUUUUAAAGUAUUCGUAUUUCUGCUCUCUCUUGUAAUUUUGGAGGCACAAAAUUUGACUGUACGUACUUGAGAAUCCACCUAGGUCUUCCAACUUCCGACUCAAAUUUAAUGAUGUCCCAUGAACUGUUUACCUUGAUGUAUGUUUUUUAGUAGUAUUUAAGGUAAAAUUAAAUAGGGUCCAAAACAUGCCUGUUUCUAAAAGAUUGUAUGUUUGUCUAACAAAAAAAUUAGGAAUUCCUUAUGUACCUGUUUAUAAUUAUGUGUAUGCUUUCAAUUUGUACAUAGUUUUAAGCUACAAGUUUAAAGAACAAAAAUAUAAUAAGAAUGUGCUAUGUUUAAUUCCACAAUUUCUUAUAAAAUCAUGGAAUUACUUAAGAUGAAUUAACAACUAUUGUGUACUUGUGUGAUAUGUCUCAUUCCUAAAGCAUAUAAGUAGUGUAUGAUAGUGUAUAUAAAACAUAUGAAAGCUUUACUACUGUUUUUUUUUAAUGGAAUGCAUUACUUACAUGUGUAUUAUAUUGUAUAAAGGCAUUUGGACAGUGUAUGCUGAUGUGCAAUCGUACAGUGAUUAUACUUUUUAUAACUGAAUUUGUAUGUAAUAUCAUAGAGAUUUUUUUUAAUUUUAUAAUAUGGCAAUUUAAUACUCAAGUUACAUUUUAUGUCUUCCACAGAGGAGUUAUUCUAAUGAUGUAUAUAUUAGAGUAUUUUUGGAACCUCAAAGUGAGGGUGUAUGACUGGUGUAAAAUCAAGAAUUGUCAUGGUAAUUCAAUUUAAACGAAUAUAAUUACAUGUAUGCAACUGCUUGAUAACAUGUAUUUAUGAAGAAAAUAAAACAUUUAACAGACUAGAGCAUUGGAAUACCAGCAAAAGCUUGUGCCAUACAACUCUGAUGAACAGAAGUAGUUGCUUUGGAGCUAUUACAAGGCUUUUGCUUGUAUUUUCAAGAUUUUUUUUUUUUUUUACUCGAUUUUACAUUUAAAGAUAGGUCAGGUCUAGACCUUUUUCUUUAACAUUUUGAUCACUGAAUCAUGGAAUUCCUACCCGGUUUGUACAGAUGGGGAAGUCAAAGGCCUGUAUUCUCCAAGAGGUUUGAUUGUACCAUGGCACAAAACCAUGGACUGUGAAGAUUUCUGUACAUAAUUACACCAAUUUCAUUGCGUACACUAAGAAAAAUCCAAUAAAUGCAUGUUUCUGGCAAAGAGUGCUGAAAAGCCUGGUAGUCAAUGAAUUAAUGCAUUUUUUAAAACCCAUUAGAAUUUAAAUAUGGCAUUUUUCUAGUCAUUAGGAUUUAAAUUUUUAAGUCUAGUGCCCUCUCUCUGUAAUGUUUUUAUUUUUAUUUGAGAUAUCAGUGUGAGCACUUAGUUUAGAUAUUUAAUAAUUGGACAUUAGAAAGCUAAUGACCAGGAUCAUAUUCUGAAACUUUCAACCCACUCCAAGCUUGAGAAGGUUUUUUAUAUUAAACAAGACACUGAGAACUAUUGAGAUAUUUCAUUUUGAUCGAUCACCCUUAUGCACAAUUUGUAAAUUUGUCCAAUGAAACAGUUUUAGUUUAUAUCCUUCACUCCAUAAACGUUAUGGUGCACAUGCAUUAAUAGUAAUGAAUUGGAAUGGUGACAUAAGCUUUAACAUGCCAGACUAUCUGCAUCACUACAGUGUUUAUUUAUAUCACUGAUAUUUGGUCCAAAUUGGCAAGACUGGUAUAUAUAUUAGUUACACUAAAAUAAUAUGCUAGCUAAAGUCAAUGAAAGGGCCUUUAAAAAGGGCAUCUAUUUUACUUUUGCUUCAGUUUGACCUCUUGCAUGCCAUGUUAAAUAAGCACUCGGUAAGAUGUGAAAGUCUAUGUAGCCUGCCUAGUAAUUGAGUUUGGAAACUCUUGUCUGAAUGCUCCCCCAGGGAGUGGGGAAAGUGCAUCUGAUGACCAGGGUAAUAGGAUAUCUGUAAUUAGGUGUCAUUCCAGUGUAUUAAGUGCUAUAUAACUGCCGAAUCUUUUUCUCUUUUUUUUUAGUGACAAUUGGGCUAACUUUUGAAAUUAGCACUCACACUGGUACAAGCACAACCAGGGCAAGUGAAGUUAGCAAAAGUAAUUGUUUAUUUUCAUGCACAGCAACCCAAUCAACAUACAUUCCCUGGACAAUUUAGGAGAUAUAGCUUCAAUGACAUUUUAAUUCUCAUGAAAUUUUCAUGAAAUCAUGAAACAGUUCAUACUGGUCACUGUGACGGUAUGAAUCAAUACAAUUCAUUUAUUUUCCAGUCAAAAACACAAGUCGAACAAAUACAUACACAAAAGUAAUCAGAAAUACAAAAAGAAGGGCAAAGCUUGUGAAGAUUGGCCUUUUUGGAAGGAUAGCAAACAAACAUACAAAUUCUAGUCAAUUUUAAAAUGAAAUUUGGAAUGCUAUGGUAACAUUCGAUAUUGGUUUGAUACAUACACUUGAUGCAUGUACUCUAUGCAGCUCAAUACAGUUGGAUCAAGCCUCAAGAAAUAUAAAAAGAUUGAUUUAGUAGUAGUAGUAACUCACCAUGCUAUUUAACAUCCAAAUUAUUCAAAACAAAGGAAUAAAUACAAACAUAGAAAAGAAAGAAUACCCAGGACAUAUCUGAGUUAAAAAAAAAACAAGCAGGGCAUACGUAAAUAACAUAGAUUAUAAUAACAAAUGGGCAUAUAAAAAACAUAUCUAUUAUUACCGAGAAUUAAAAAUAUUUAUAUAAACAUGAAAUUAUAGUGUUUAAAACUUUAAAAAUUCAGUCAAUGGGAGUUAUUAGAUAUUGACUAGACAUUAUUAUCAAGCCACUCUGUCCUUUGUAAAUGAUUUAUGCAGCCAUACAUGAAAUUAGAUUACAUUUCAUCACUUGUUCAUGUAUUUAUGAGAAAUAACUCAAUAUAUUUUAUAGCUGUUGCAUUUUAAAAAGAAUCUAAAUAAAUAUAUUUGAUAAAAUGA